ACCUGGAUUAGUGGUUGCCCUUUUAAUUUAUGAUUCAAUUUCUUUUGUGUUUCUAAAAGCAUUUUGCAUGAUUAAAAUUUGGUUUACAAGUGUAAGAGAGCACCAUGUUUUCAUGCAGGUCUUGCAGUCCCUUUAUUAAUUUCUAUUGUCUUUAAGUGUGAUGUAUUGUCAAUCAAGGUGAACCACCUAGUUUUUUGGUUUUUACAACUUUUUCUCUUUGAUCUGCCAUUCCUGGGUUAAGUAUAAAAAGCAUUACCUUUUCAUUCUCUAUGUUGUGUGUUGGGGGCAUUGCUUGAUAUGCAAGAGUCAAAGAGAUGUGCAUUUUCCCCACCUCUCCG
rnacentral:misc_RNA from 1 species